UACGGAGGGUGCAAGCGUUAUCCGGAUUCACUGGGUUUAAAGGGUGCGUAGGUGGCGGGGUAAGUCAGGUGUGAAAUCUCGAGGCUCAACCUCGAAACUGCAUUUGAUACUGCCUUGCUCGAGUACUGGAGAGGAGAUUGGAAUUUACGGUGUAGCAGUGAAAUGCGUAGAUAUCGUAAGGAAGACCAGUGGCGAAUGCGAAUCUCUGGACAGUUACUGACACUGAGGCACGAAGGCCAGGGGAGCAAACGGG
rnacentral:rRNA from 1 species